CGUCAAGUCCUCAUGGCCCUUACAUCCUGGGCCACACACGUGCUACAAUGGGGGGGCACAGAGGGAAGCCAGGCCGCGAGGCCGAGCGGAUCCCGAAAGCCUCCCCCAGUUCGGAUUGAAGUCUGAAACCCGACUUCAUGAAGUUGGAAUCGCUAGUAAUCGCGCAUCAGCAUGGCGCGGUGAAUACGUUCCCGGGCCUU
rnacentral:rRNA from 1 species